GACGAACGCUGGCGGCGUGCUUAACACAUGCAAGUCGAACGAAGUGGCGAACGGGAGAGUAACGAGUAAUCAACCUGCCCUUAAGAGGGGGACAACAGUUGGAAACGACUGCUAAUACCGCAUACUGAAGGCGGUGAUUGCGUCUGAUUAGCAAGUUGGAUGGGUAACGGCCCACCAAGGCGAUGAUCAGUAGCCGGGCUGAGAGGAUGGACGGCCACAUUGUGACUUAGACACGGCCCAGACUCCUACGGCAGGCAGCAGUUGGGAAUCUUCCGCAAUGGACGAAAGUCUGACGGAGCAACGCCGCGUGAGUGAUGACGGCCUUCGGGUUGUAAAGCUCUGUUAAUCGGGACGCGGUACCGGAAUAGAAAGCCACGGCUAACUACGUGCCAGCCGCCGCGGUAAUUC
rnacentral:rRNA from 1 species